rnacentral:rRNA from 1 species
AUUGAACGCUGGCGGCAGGCCUAACACAUGCAAGUCGAACGAGGGGCGGACGGGUGAGUAAUGUCUGGGAAACUGCCCGAUGGAGGGGGAUAACACUUGGAAACAGGGGCUAAUACCGGAUAUACGGGGAUGCACUCGCGUCCUAUCAGCUUGUUGGUGGGUUAAUGGCUCACCUAGGCGACGAUCCCUAGCUGGUCUGAGAGGAUGACCAGCCACACUGGAACUGAGACACGGCCCAGACUCCUACGGGAGGCAGCAGUGGGGAAUAUUGCACAAUGGGCGCAAGCCUGAUGCAGCCAUGCCGCGUGUAUGAAGAAGGCCUUCGGGUUGUAAAGUACUUUCAGCGGGGAGGCGUUACUCGCAGAAGAAGCACCGGCUAACUCCGUGCCAGCAGCCGCGGUAAUAC